rnacentral:rRNA from 1 species
AGCAGCCGCGGUAAUUCCAGCCCCAAUAGCGUAUAUUAAAGUUGUUGCAGUUAAAAAGCUCGUAGUUGAAUUUCGGGAUUGACGUGAUGGUCAUGCCUUAAGGGGUAUGAACUGUUACAGUUGAUUUCUCACCUUCUGGAGAAACUUGAUGUCCUUUAUUGGGUGUCUUGUGGAUCCAGGACCCUUACCUUGAAAAGAUUAGAGUGUUUAAAGCAGGCAUUUUUGCUCGAAUACAUUAGCAUGGAAUAAUAGAAUAGGACGGCAUGGUUCUAUUUUGUUGGUUUCUAGGAUCACCGUAAUGAUUAAUAGGGAUAGUUGGGGGCAUUAGUAUUCAAUUGUCAGAGGUGAAAUUCUUGGAUUUAUUGAAGACUAACUACCGCGAAAGCAUUUGCCAAGGAUGUUUUCAUUAAUCAAGAACGAAAGUUAGGGGAUCGAAGACGAUC